GAACAACUUGUCAAUUCUGCUAGUGUUCUGUCUAAGCUUCAAAAUGGCACAGCACUCAGAUACCCUAGUAUAUCAUAAUGUCUUUGACAUUUUCCUGAGGAAAAAGCAUGGAUUAUGAGUCAAUGUACAAAAGGAAGAAUAAAAGCUAUCUCUGUGGAAUUUAUGCUUCUAUGGAUGAUCAAAAGGAGCAUCCAACGGUAUAGCAGGGAAUUUUCCAUAUCCACUGCUGGCACAUGGCACAGACUUAGUCUCAAAACUGCUGCUAAAAUUAUUAAUAGAUAGGUGAACUCCUCUGGAUGAAAUUUUGAAGCUGGUUAGAAGUCAUUUUUGUGCUGCUUAUGGUCAUUUUUUUGCCAUCAGUGAGGGCAGCCUACCCAAGAAUAAAGCAAUAUAGGGGACAACUGACAAGCAAGUGGAGAAAGAAUCCAAAAAAUAACAUGUGACCAUCUGAUCCAGGGAACAUUCCAAGAAGGCUCCAUGAAAACUCUGGGACUUGAGGCAGCCUUUGAAAGCUGAGUGAAUUAUAUAAAACCCAUGCCCAAAUGCUACUUCCCAUGGUUGAAAGAAGUUGGGGUUUAGGACUGGGCACAUCUGGGUUCUAUCCUUGGCCUACCAUAUGCCAGCUUAGUAACUGGGUGCAAUUUUACUUAGCCUCCUCUGAGACUCAGUUUCCUCAACUUUAUGCUACUGAUCAAACCAACUGUGCAGAGUUCUCAUGAAUAAUGAGAUACACAAGAUACAUUUUUUUUUAUUGUCUGGCAAAUAGGUGCUCAACAAAUGUAAGAUAUUUUUAUUAGCUAGAAUUUGUGUAGAAGGUAUGUGAGUUAGAAUUUAAUCUCUUACCUAGGGCUUAAUUAAAUCUGCAAUUUGUAGGCAUCAAUGGACACGCAAUUUGAAGCCAUCUUGAAAGCACGGGUGAAAAUACACUGUAUGAAAAGCUCUGGAGCCAUCAGGACUUCACAAGUACAACAGAGCAUCCCAUGACAACAGAGCCAACUUGGAAGUACUGUUCAUUGCCAUCGCAGAUUAAUUAUCAACUCCACUGCCUGCUCUUCAAGACUUGGGACCUUCAGAAAUGAAUCAAAUAUUAGAAAAUAUAAAGUUGGCUUCUGUUUACACCCCUGCUCAUUUCUACCUCUGUGGAUUGGAAGAUAAGAAAGCCAAAUUUCUUGCUCCCCAGGGUACCACUGAAGAUUCAUAUCCAUGGAACAGAGUCCAAUUAUAACAUUUCCUGAGAUUCUGAAAGUCUUAUGUGAUCAAGCUGAGAUUUUUUUGAUUGGGAUUGAGCUCCAUUAACCUUUCUCAAAGAGAAGGAAUCUUUUUGCACUGUGCUAAGGGACUCUACCCAUAUAAGUCAGCAUGUGACUUGCCAGAAUUUGAAAAGAAAAACCUGGCCUGGACUUAUGAAAGGGGCAUUGGAUCCUAAUUCUUCAGGCUGCUGCUUCUCCUGGCAACCUUUAAAGGAUAAUGUGGGACUGUGCUGAUACCAUCCGGGUGAAGGACAGCUUCAUUUCUAUUUAAAUUUACAUCUGUUGCAAACUCACAUCACAAUUAAAUGUGUUUCUUAGGUAUCUUACUAAAAUUGAGGCUCUUUGGCUCUUAUGUAAAUUUUCCAUUACGUAGAUGUUAAGGAAUGAGAAAAUCCAAAUUCUGGUGUACAAUCUAUUUUGGCAAGUAUUUAAAAAUUUCUGAGCCUGUUAAUUCCUCUGCAAACCAAACACUUUUGACUAGAUUCAAUUUUUUUUUUAAAUGUGGCACUUUGGCAACAUGGUAAAGUUUUUAUAUUCAUAGGCUAAAUAUAGA
ensembl:lncRNA